rnacentral:lncRNA from 1 species
CUCUCAUCAGCCCGAGCUUUUGUUACAACUUAGAGACCAACAGCCUGAACUCAGAUGUCAGCAGCGAAUCCUCUGACAGCUCCGAGGAACUUUCUCCCACGGCCAAGUUUACCUCCGACCCCAUUGGCGAAGUUUUGGUCAGCUCGGGAAAAUUGAGCUCCUCUGUCACCUCCACGCCUCCAUCUUCUCCGGAACUGAGCAGGGAACCUUCUCAACUGUGGGGUUGCGUGCCCGGGGAGCUGCCCUCGCCAGGGAAGGAGAAAAGCCUUACAGAUGCUCAUGGGAAGGGUGUGAGUGGCGUUUUGCAAGAAGUGAUGAGUUAACCAGGCACUUCCGAAAGCACACCGGGGCCAAGCCUUUUAAAUGCUCCCACUGUGACAGGUGUUUUUCCAGGUCUGACCACCUGGCCCUGCACAUGAAGAGGCACCUCUGAGGGAGCAGAGAGGUGGAUCCUGUAGGCUAAAAGGCUUCCAGGCUGAGAGCCGGCCGUGGAAGGAGGGAUGCGUGUUCCAGCCAAAGCAUGCCGUUCUGCACCCUACCCAGUUGCCUCCAGGGCCUCUCCUUGGAAGGUCUUUUGAGGGCUAAAAAGGUCCUGUAAGAAGCGGCAUAGCACCCGUGGUGCAUGGUAUGUGGGUGACCCUGGACUCGCCACUGGUACCCGCCCUUCCGAGCGGCGCCUAAGCCUUUGCCGUGAGCAUGCACACUGAGAAUGCUAAUGGUUGGGUUGAUUGUAUGUUGAGGAUCUAUUACUGACCGUAUGAUGAGGCCAACUUUUUUUCCUUGUGGUUAGCAAGACUGCAAGAGAUGGAAAAAAAGUAGUUUGAAUGUUUUGUGUGUAAGGAGUAUACCAUGAGAUGAGAUGACCACCAAUCAUUUCCUUGGGGGGAGGGGGUGUCUGCACCUUAGAAAAAAAAAGAAAAAUCAA